ensembl:snRNA U6 U6 spliceosomal RNA
GUGAUCACUUCAGCAGCACAUAUACUAAAAUUAGAACAAUACGGAGAAGAUUAGAAUGGUGCCCAUGCAAGUAUGACACACAAAUUCGUGAAGCAUUGCAUAUAUUU